rnacentral:pre_miRNA from 1 species
AGGCAAGAUGUUGGCAUAGCUGUUGAUCUAAGAACCUGCUAUGCCAACAUAUUGCCAUC